rnacentral:rRNA from 1 species
GACGAACGCUGGCGGCGUGCUUAACACAUGCAAGUCGAACGGAAAGGCCCUGCUUUUGUGGGGUGCUCGAGUGGCGAACGGGUGAGUAACACGUGAGUAACCUGCCCUUGACUUUGGGAUAACUUCAGGAAACUGGGGCUAAUACCGGAUAGGAGCUCCUGCUGCAUGGUGGGGGUUGGAAAGUUUCGGCGGUUGGGGAUGGACUCGCGGCUUAUCAGCUUGUUGGUGGGGUAGCGGCUUACCAAGGCUUUGACGGGUAGCCGGCCUGAGAGGGUGACCGGCCACAUUGGGACUGAGAUACGGCCCAGACUCCUACGGGAGGCAGCAGUGGGGAAUAUUACACAAUGGGCGGAAGCCUGAUGCAGCAACGCCGCGUGCGGGAUGACGGCCUUCGGGUUGUAAACCGCUUUCGCCUGUGACGAAGCGUGAGUGACGGUAAUGGGUAAAGAAGCACCGGCUAACUACGUG